AUUGAACGCUCGCGGGAUGCUUUACACAUGCAAGUCGAACGGCAGCGCGGACUUCGGUCUGGCUGCGAGUGGCGAACGGGUGUGUAAUGUAUCGGAACGUGCCCAGUUGCGGGGGAUAACUACUCGAAAGCGUUGCUAAUACCGCAUACGCCCUACGGGUGCAAGCAGGGGAUCGUAAGACCUUUCACUAUUGUAUCGGCCGAUAUCGGAUUAGCUAGUUGGUUAGGUAACGGCUCACCAAGGCGACGAUCCGUAGCUGGUGUGAGAGGAAGACCAGCCACACGGGAAGUGAGACACGGCCCAGACUCCUACGGGAGGGAGCAGUGGGGAAUGUUGGACAAUGGGGGCAAACAUGAUACAGCCAGCCCGCGUGUGCGAUGAAGGCCUUCGGGUUGUAAAGAACUUUUGGCAGGAAAGAAACGUCGCGGGCUAAUACCCAGUGGAACUGACGGUACCUGCAGAAUAAGCACCGGCUAACUACGUG
rnacentral:rRNA from 1 species